rnacentral:rRNA from 1 species
GAUGAACGCUGGCGGCGUGCUUAACACAUGCAAGUCGAACGAAGCACUUUAUUUGAUUUCCUUCGGGACUGAUUAUUUUGUGACUGAGUGGCGGACGGGUGAGUAACGCGUGGGUAACCUGCCUUGUACAGGGGGAUAACAGUUGGAAACGGCUGCUAAUACCGCAUAAGCGCACAGCAUCGCAUGAUGCAGUGUGAAAAACUCCGGUGGUAUAAGAUGGACCCGCGUUGGAUUAGCUAGUUGGUGAGGUAACGGCCCACCAAGGCGACGAUCCAUAGCCGACCUGAGAGGGUGACCGGCCACAUUGGGACUGAGACACGGCCCAAACUCCUACGGGAGGCAGCAGUGGGGAAUAUUGCACAAUGGGCGAAAGCCUGAUGCAGCGACGCCGCGUGAGCGAAGAAGUAUUUCGGUAUGUAAAGUUCUAUCAGCAGGGAAGAUAAUGACGGUACCUGACGAAGAAGCACCGGCUAAAUACGUG